rnacentral:rRNA from 1 species
GACGCACGCUGGCGGCGUGCUUAACACAUGCAAGUCGAACGAAGUGGCGAACGGGUGAGUAACGCGUAAUCAACCUGCCCUUCAGAGGGGGACAACAGUUGGAAACGACGGCUAAUACCGCAUACUGAAGAAGUGGCUUGCGUCUGAUUAGGUAGUUGGAGGGGUAACGGCCCACCAAGGCGAUGAACAGUAGCCGGUCUGAGAGUGUGAGUGGCCACCUUGGGGCUUAGACACGGCCCAGACUCCUGCGGGAGGCAGCAGUUGGGGAUCUUCCGCAAUGGAAGAAAGUCUGACGGAGUCACGCCGCGGGAGUGAUGACGGCCUUCGGGUUGUAAAGCUCUGUUAAUCGGGACGCGGUACCGGAAUAGAAAGCCACGGCUAACUACGUGCCAGCAGCCGCGGUAAUAC